rnacentral:rRNA from 1 species
GACGUAGGGCGCGAGCGUUGUCCGGAUUUAUUGGGCGUAAAGAGCUCUGUAGGCGGGCUUGUCGCGUCGACUGUGAAAAACCCGCGGCUCAACUGUGGGCGUUGCCAGUCGAUACGGGCAGGCUGGAGUUCGGUAGGGGAGACUGGAAUUCCUGGUGUAGCGGUGAAAUGCGCAGAUAUCAGGAGGAACACCGGUGGCGAAGGCGGGUCUCUGGGCCGAUACUGACGCUGAGGAGCGAAAGCGUGGGGAGCGAACAGG